UUUGCAUUUUUCCAACGGGCAGAUAGAAUCUUACAAUGAAACAACUAGAACAUUAUCAGUCCGUUGUCACUCUGAUAAUUCGACGUAUGUUGCUUACAUUUGUGAACAUAAUGGGACGUGGAGUCGAUAUGGGGAAUGUUUACCCGCGGAAAUUGAAGAUUUGCGCUUGGUGAACACGGACUACAGUUCUGCGUUGCAUGUCUACGGAACAAUUGAGAUUAAAAUAAAAAAUACUUGGGGAACUAUCUGUGCCCGCGGAUUUGAAAGCUGGGAUGCGACUGUUUUAUGCAAAAUGCUUAACGCUAGUUAUGCAGGGCAUGCUUAUUACGGUCAAGGAUCUGGUGCUAUACACAUGUCUGCCCUAAAAUGCUCGGGUUCUGAGAACAAUAUAAGUCAGUGUUCGUAUCAGACCUCACAUCAAUG